rnacentral:pre_miRNA from 1 species
UGUGCAUGGUAUGUAUGCAUGUGCUUGUGUGUGUUGUGUAUGGAUGCACACACCCAAGCAAACAUGCA